rnacentral:rRNA from 1 species
GAUUACGGAUUCUUCGGAUGAAGUAUGAUAUGACUGAGUGGCGGACGGGUGAGUAACGCGUGAGUAACCUGCCCUUCAGAGGGGGAUAGCGUUUGGAAACGAACGGUAAUACCGCAUAAUGUAUUUUGACCGCAUGAUCGAAAUACCAAAGAUUUAUCGCUGAAGGAUGGACUCGCGCCUGAUUAGGUAGUUGGUGGGGUAACGGCCUACCAAGCCGACGAUCAGUAGCCGGACUGAGAGGUUGAUCGGCCACAUUGGGACUGAGACACGGCCCAGACUCCUACGGGAGGCAGCAGUGGGGAAUAUUGCACAAUGGGCGCAAGCCUGAUGCAGCAACGCCGCGUGAAGGAAGACGGUUUUCGGAUUGUAAACUUCUGUUCUUAGUGAAGAAUAAUGACGGUAGCUAAGGAGCAAGCCACGGCUAACUACGUGCCAGCAGCCGCGGUAAUACGUAGGUGGCAAGCGUUGUCCGGAAUUACUGGGUGUAAAGGGAGCGCAGGCGGGUGAUCAAGUCAGCUGUGAAAACUACGGGCUUAACCCGUAGACUGCAGUUGAAACUGUUCAUCUUGAGUGAAGUAGAGGUUGGCGGAAUUCCGAGUGUAGCGGUGAAAUGCGUAGAUAUUCGGAGGAACACCG